rnacentral:rRNA from 1 species
AUUGAACGCUGGCGGCAGGCCUAACACAUGCAAGUCGAACGGUAACAGAAAGCAGCUUGCUGCUUUGCUGACGAGUGGCGGACGGGUGAGUAAUGUCUGGGAAACUGCCUGAUGGAGGGGGAUAACUACUGGAAACGGUAGCUAAUACCGCAUAACGUCGCAAGACCAAAGAGGGGGACCUUCGGGCCUCUUGCCAUCGGAUGUGCCCAGAUGGGAUUAGCUAGUAGGUGGGGUAACGGCUCACCUAGGCGACGAUCCCUAGCUGGUCUGAGAGGAUGACCAGCCACACUGGAACUGAGACACGGGCCAGACUCCUACGGGAGGCAGCAGUGGGGAAUAUUGCACAAUGGGCGCAAGCCUGAUGCAGCCAUGCCGCGUGUAUGAAGAAGGCCUUCGGGUUGUAAAGUACUUUCAGCGGGGAGGAAGGGAGUAAAGUUAAUACCUUUGCUCAUUGACGUUACCCGCAGAAGAAGCACCGGCUAACUCCGUG